rnacentral:rRNA from 1 species
UUGACGCUGGCGGCAGGCCUAACACAUGCAAGUCGAGCGGUAGAGAGAAGCUUGCUUCUCUUGAGAGCGGCGGACGGGUGAGUAAUGCCUAGGAAUCUGCCUGGUAGUGGGGGAUAACGUUCGGAAACGGACGCUAAUACCGCAUACGUCCUACGGGAGAAAGCAGGGGACCUUCGGGCCUUGCGCUAUCAGAUGAGCCUAGGUCGGAUUAGCUAGUUGGUGAGGUAAUGGCUCACCAAGGCGACGAUCCGUAACUGGUCUGAGAGGAUGAUCAGUCACACUGGAACUGAGACACGGUCCAGACUCCUACGGGAGGCAGCAGUGGGGAAUAUUGGACAAUGGGCGAAAGCCUGAUCCAGCCAUGCCGCGUGUGUGAAGAAGGUCUUCGGAUUGUAAAGCACUUUAAAGUUUGGGAGGAAGGGUUGUAAAAUUAAUACUUC